rnacentral:rRNA from 1 species
UGCAGUCGAGCGAACAGAUAAGGAGCUUGCUCCUUUGACGUUAGCGGCGGACGGGUGAGUAACACGUGGGUAACCUACCUAUAAGACUGGGAUAACUUCGGGAAACCGGAGCUAAUACCGGAUAACAUUUGGAACCGCAUGGUUCUAAAGUGAAAGAUGGUUUUGCUAUCACUUAUAGAUGGACCCGCGCCGUAUUAGCUAGUUGGUAAGGUAACGGCUUACCAAGGCAACGAUACGUAGCCGACCUGAGAGGGUGAUCGGCCACACUGGAACUGAGACACGGUCCAGACUCCUACGGGAGGCAGCAGUAGGGAAUCUUCCGCAAUGGGCGAAAGCCUGACGGAGCAACGCCGCGUGAGUGAUGAAGGGUUUCGGCUCGUAAAACUCUGUUAUUAGGGAAGAACAAAUGUGUAAGUAACUGUGCACAUCUUGACGGUACCUAAUCAGAAAGCCACGGCUAACUACGUGCCAGCAGCCGCGGUAAUACGUAGGUGGCAAGCGUUAUCCGGAAUUAUUGGGCGUAAAGCGCGCGUAGGCGGUUUCUUAAGUCUGAUGUGAAAGCCCACGGCUCAACCGUGGAGGGUCAUUGGAAACUGGGAAACUUGAGUGCAGAAGAGGAAAGUGGAAUUCCAUGUGUAGCGGUGAAAUGCGCAGAGAUAUGGAGGAACACCAGUGGCGAAGGCGACUUUCUGGUCUGUAACUGACGCUGAUGUGCGAAAGCGUGGGGAUCAAACAGGAUUAGAUACCCUGGUAGUCCACGCCGUAAACGAUGAGUGCUAAGUGUUAGGGGGUUUCCGCCCCUUAGUGCUGCAGCUAACGCAUUAAGCACUCCGCCUGGGGAGUACGACCGCAAGGUUGAAACUCAAAGGAAUUGACGGGGACCCGCACAAGCGGUGGAGCAUGUGGUUUAAUUCGAAGCAACGCGAAGAACCUUACCAAAUCUUGACAUCCUUUGAAAACUCUAGAGAUAGAGCCUUCCCCUUCGGGGGACAAAGUGACAGGUGGUGCAUGGUUGUCGUCAGCUCGUGUCGUGAGAUGUUGGGUUAAGUCCCGCAACGAGCGCAACCCUUAAGCUUAGUUGCCAUCAUUAAGUUGGGCACUCUAGGUUGACUGCCGGUGACAAACCGGAGGAAGGUGGGGAUGACGUCAAAUCAUCAUGCCCCUUAUGAUUUGGGCUACACACGUGCUACAAUGGACAAUACAAAGGGCAGCUAAACCGCGAGGUCAUGCAAAUCCCAUAAAGUUGUUCUCAGUUCGGAUUGUAGUCUGCAACUCGACUACAUGAAGCUGGAAUCGCUAGUAAUCGUAGAUCAGCAUGCUACGGUGAAUACGUUCCCGGGUCUUGUACACACCGCCCGUCACACCACGAGAGUUUGUAACACCCGAAGCCGGUGGAGUAACCA